AGCCUGACGGAGCGCUGCCGCGUGAGUGAAGAAGGUCUUCGGAUUGUAAAGCUCUGUCUUUGGGGACGAAAAUGACUGGGAGGGAAUGCGAAGCCACUGACGGUUCCUAGUCAGCAAGCCCCGGCUUACUACGUGCCAGCAGCCGCGGUAAUUA
rnacentral:rRNA from 1 species